GUUGUCAUGAUUAGCCAUAACACAUAAGGCCAAGCGAUCAAUUGGCUCUUCAAUUAUAUAUGCUUUGUUAUGCUUGGUUUCUGAGCUGA
rfam:Leersia perrieri chromosome 12, whole genome shotgun sequence.